rnacentral:rRNA from 1 species
GACGAACGCUGGCGGCGUGCCUAAUACAUGCAAGUAGAACGCUGAAGAGAGGAGCUUGCUCUUCUUGGAUGAGUUGCGAACGGGUGAGUAACGCGUAGGUAACCUGCCUGGUAGCGGGGGAUAACUAUUGGAAACGAUAGCUAAUACCGCAUAAAAUUGAUUAUUGCAUGAUAGUCAAUUGAAAGGUGCAACUGCACCACUACCAGAUGGACCUGCGUUGUAUUAGCUAGUUGGUGGGGUAACGGCUCACCAAGGCGACGAUACAUAGCCGACCUGAGAGGGUGAUCGGCCACACUGGGACUGAGACACGGCCCAGACUCCUACGGGAGGCAGCAGUAGGGAAUCUUCGGCAAUGGACGGAAGUCUGACCGAGCAACGCCGCGUGAGUGAAGAAGGUUUUCGGAUCGUAAAGCUCUGUUGUAAGAGAAGAACGAGUGUGAGAGUGGAAAGUUCACACUGUGACGGUAUCUUACCAGAAAGGGACGGCUAACUACGUGCCAGCAGCCGCGGUAAUACGUAGGUCCCGAGCGUUGUCCGGAUUUAUUGGGCGUAAAGCGAGCGCAGGCGGUUAGAUAAGUCUGAAGUUAAAGGCUGUGGCUUAACCAUAGUACGCUUUGGAAACUGUUUAACUUGAGUGCAAGAGGGGAGAGUGGAAUUCCAUGUGUAGCGGUGAAAUGCGUAGAUAUAUGGAGGAACACCGGUGGCGAAAGCGGCUCUCUGGCUUGUAACUGACGCUGAGGCUCGAAAGCGUGGGGAGCAACAGG